CCUUACUCUGGGUGAGGGACCUCCCAUACACUGCAUAUCCCCUAUAUCUAUAUGUCCUGUGCCCCCACAGUUACCAUUAUUACCCCAUUUUACAAAUAAGUCACUGAUAGAGCAACACACUGAAGUUUACACAGUCUGUGGGUGGUGAACAAAGGAUUGAAACCCAGGCAGAUUAAAAUGAGGUGGUGCAAACAGUAAGGGUUCGGUAGAUGGACAGACUGAUGGCAGUGAUUGGGGGGCUGCCCAAGGUAUCCAUACACCUGUGAACAAGGCUGAGUGUCUUCUCUUCGAGGGCGUGGCCACUAGUAGGGAAGAGAAACAUUGAGACCUAAAUGAGGUAAUAAAGAAAUAAUCAAGUGCUGUUGGGGCACAAAAGAGAGUAAUUUGGGCUAGUGAGGGGGAUUGAAGCUGCUUUCCCAGGAUCUGGCCUUUCCGAGGAGCCUUGGGGAAGUUUGACAGGUGCACAAGAAGGGCAUCUCAGGCCGAGAGAGUGCAUGGAGGGGAGAGAGCUUGACGUGGGUACCCAACGAUGACUGCUCCAGUGGAGUGUGGCUUUCAGGAAACCAAGUGGUUGGGGGCUAACUUGGAAGGUUGUGCAAGACAGGAGUGUGAGGACCCCUGAAUGUCAUGCUAAGGAGUUUGGAUUCUAUCCCACAGAGAUGGAGAGAGUGCAUUCACAAUGAUCAAGGUCAUCUGAGUGAAAAUUAUAUUUGCAUCCGAUGUGUAUGGAGUGUACAUUUUGUUUGCCAUUUGAAAUAUGCAGAAAAAUUUAAGGCAGACACCAAAGGUCUCAAUCAGCAAACAGCAAAAGAUCUCUUUUGUUUUAUGGUUGUAGCAAGAACUCCUCCUAGUGGACUUUCUCAGAAGUAUUUACUACAUGUGCAGAAAAAGGCAUGAAGAAAAGUAAUGGCAUAACAUCAGUAAAUCACACCAACUGGUAUCUUUCACCAGUGAUGCAGGAACAUUUCUUUCUGCCUUUGUGGAAUAAAUUAAGAGAAUGUGCAGAGUACA
rnacentral:lncRNA from 12 species